rnacentral:lncRNA from 1 species
CGCAACCUACAGAAACACACUUUAAAAAAUUAGAACAAAAAUAAAAACAAAUAAAAACCUGAAGUACUAUAAAGUCCUAUCGAAAAUAUUAAAGCAAUUUCUUAUCAAAUCCCCGGCAACGGCGCCAAAAAGUUGAUCACUAAAUUAUUAGCACAAAAUACCGCAACUAACACGGUGUAAUUGUAGCACAGAAAUAGUAACCAGAUAUCGUAUCCACAGGGAUUGACACAACGAAACGACUUUAUCUAUCUCCUAAACAGACU